UGGGUCAUCCGAGACUGGUGGUUUUGAGAGCGGAGAUGAUGAUAGAGAUGAAAAUAAUGAUACAUAUGUUGGGUGGGUAUUAAUUCAAUUGACUAUUAGUAGUGUCCCUUCGUUUCUUCUACUUCCUUGGCAAAUACAUGGAAAUGUACAACAGAGACCAAUGAAAAUCUUGGCGCAAUAUGUUUUAGAUGUGUGAUGAUUUUGUUUCUGAAGAUUCUACUUCUUUUUAAACAUAUGUGAAUAGUUGUUUGUAUUUUUUACCAUUUUUUCUAUAACGGUGGUGUCUGAGCUAGCUUUUUUGGACUUUGACCUAUUUAUGAGGUACCUUCUAGAUUAUGCACGCCACGACCUAUUUCCUCGGUACCUUCUACCUCGCACAAACGAUGGUAUCUCUGUCCACAAACCAAUAAAGGUAUAAAUCACUUGGUCUCUUUAAUUUUGAUGGGAUUUGAACCUAAAUCUCAUGGUUUUCAAUCGACUUCAAUGACCACUAGGCUACACACUUGAGUGUAAUUUGUACUUUUUUACUAUUUAAGGAGAUUUAAACUGGAAGAAUGAGAUAUGGGCAUGCUACUACAUAAACAUAUUCUGGAAUUAACAACCAAUAUGGGAUUUCCUGAAUAGAGGUUAUUGCUCAUGGAGAGGAUCUAUAUUUAAUAUUGGAGAACCACUGAUGAUGGUUUACAAUCCCUUUAACACUUAAUUAUCAGAAGUUGUGAUUUAUUGGAAGAGAUUCCUCAAGGAUUUGCAGAUAGUAUGAAUUGCAGCUUAUUGAGUUACAUCAGUGUUAUCCUUCCCUUGUGAAUUCUGCUGAGUGGAUCUGGGAGGAGUAAGAUAAUUUCAGGAACAACAUGCUUAAAGUGUAUGCCUUUGACAUAAGAGAUUCAUCUCUACAUUGUUCAAAUGGUCUCACCAAUCAGAAGUGUUAUUUGAUCAUAAGAGAUGAAAGACAUUGUUCGUGGAAUUUAAAGCUAAGUUCUUAUGAAACUUGAACCUAUGUUUUAGGUGGAUGGCCCAUUUUCAUUGCUUAAAGAAGUUAGAUCGCAUAAUGUUUGAGGUUGUUAUUAAUUGAGAGACACCAAUAUUCUCUUCAGUACAUACCAUGAUCAUGCUCUAUUGUGAUACAUUUUUAUGCUGAUAGAUUGUCUUUUUUAACAAUCAUCUUAUUGGGUUGUUGUCACGGAAUCUGUUGAUAGCCAGAUCUGAAUUGCAGGUCAAGAGAGAAUUAAAAGGGAUUGAUUUCACUAAGAUAUUACGAGGAGGCAAGCUGCUAAUGUUUUUCCAACCACUUGAACGAGAAAUUUGGGCAGCUAGUCAUUUAUUGAUAAUUUUUAUAAAACACAAGUGUGUACAAAUGAUGAAACUUCUGAAGUCUGAACAUUUGAGUCAACAGACCAAGUCCAAAGCCAAGGAGGGACUUAUUGUUAAGGAAGAGCUAUCUGUCAUUUACUAUGCAACCAUAUAGUGUUGCUCAACCAAAUGUGAUUGGUUCACAUGUUCGAUCAAUGUUAUAGAAUAUUAGUUUGAUAAAUCUCUUUGUAUUUUGAUGAUUAUGUCUCUGCAGAAAAAGCUUUACACUAUAUCAGAAGUUUAUGUUAGAUAUUUUGUUGAACUAAAAUUUAUGACAGUGAAAAUUAGAAAA